rnacentral:rRNA from 1 species
CCUACGGGAGGCUGCAGUGGGGAAUAUUGGGCAAUGGGCGCAAGCCUGACCCAGCAACGCCGCGUGAAGGAAGAAGGCUUUCGGGUUGUACACUUCUUUUCUGAGGGACGAAGAAAGUGACGGUAUCGCAGGACUAAGCCACGGCUAACUAGGUGCCAGCAGCCGCGGUAAUACGCAGGUGGCAAGCGUUAUCCGGUUUUAUUGGGUGUAAAGGGCGUGUAGGCGGGAAAGCACGUCAGAUGUGAAAACUCAUGGCGCAACCCUGGGCCGGCUUUUGAAACUGUUUUUCUUGAGUGCUGGAGAGGCGAUCGGAAUGCCGUGUGUAGCGGUGAAAUGCGUAGAUAUACGGAGGAACACCAGUGGCGAAGGCGGAUUGCUAGACAGUAACUGACGCUGAGGCGCGAAAGCGUGGGGAGCAAACAGGAUUAGAUACCCGUGUAGUC